UACGUAGGGGGCAAGCGUUGUCCGGAAUCAUUGGGCGUAAAGAGCGUGUAGGCGGUUCGGUAAGUCGGCUGUGAAAGUCCAGGGCUCAACCCUGGGAUGCCGGUCGAUACUGCCGGACUAGAGUUCGGAAGAGGCGAGUGGAAUUCCUGGUGUAGCGGUGAAAUGCGCAGAUAUCAGGAGGAACACCGGUGGCGAAGGCGGAUCUCUGGGCCAUUACUGACGCUGAGGAGCGAAAGCGUGGGGAGCGAACAGG
rnacentral:rRNA from 1 species